AUUAAUUAUAGUAAGUUUAUUUUUUCUUUCUUUUAAAUUAGUUUUUCAUAAUUUGGAAAAUGAAUUAAGCUCCUGAUACUAAUGUGGUAACCCCUACAGUUACAAUAGUUUACGGUUACAAACAAAAUAAGAAGAAAGAAUUAGCAAUUAGCAACGGAAGCCUAACACGGAUCCAUCGGUGAGGGCGAUGACGACCCUGCACUCAGCUUUCGCCUCCACGUGGUGACUGAAAAGGUGCAACACUCUCACGCGCCCAGCUAUCUCUAUUUUCGACUCCAUCUCCAUAGUGGGCCCCACAUUGCUGGGACCAUUCACCAAGGUGGGCCCCGGGCCCAAGGGGAAGGACUGGACGGUGAACGUGGCGGCCAUGUACUGAGUCCUGCCGGCGGCGAUCUUGCCGGCGGGGACGAACAUGAAGCCGACCUGUGUGCCGUGGUAGAGAAGCUGGAGCGAGCUGUCGUAGUGCGAGAAGGUGCCACGGUUAGGGUUGCGGACGGAGGCGUACUGAGAGAAGGUGAAGUUGACGGUACCGUUAAUGGCGGAGAAGGAAGGGAUCUGGACGGCGCUGACGGCGAUUUUGGGAUCCUGAGGCUUGAACAGCGUGAAGUAAAGGAGGAAGACCACGAUGAGGAGGAAGAUCAGGAAAAUGGUGGCCACAAAACAGGAUGCCAGGUUCGUGCGGUUCUCGUGCUUCGCCAUGGCUCUGAGAGAGGAAGUAUCUAAGGGAUGUGAUGAAGAUGAUGAAUGCAACAAAUCAAAGCAUAACAAAACAAAACACAACAAAAGCCACGAGCACAUGGAGUGUGUGAAGAAAUUUGCAGCGUGUGAAGAGGGUUGGAUUAAGUUUAUUUAUUCGUUACGUGAUCUCAGGUAGUAGUGGGAGAUAGUUUCUCAAUACCAAAGGCCAUCUCGCACGGCUUUUUUACCAGACAUGAAUCAACAAGUGAGAAACCAAACACCAACGCAUAUAUGCAAGAAACACAUGGUGAUAUGCAGUGAAACUGUGAAGGAAAGAUGAAGAAUGUUUACCUUCUCUGGUAGACAGUAGCCAUG